AUUGAACGCUGGCGGCAGGCCUAACACAUGCAAGUCGAGCGGAGCGGCGGACGGGUGAGUAAUGCCUAGGAAUCUGCCUGGUAGUGUGGGAUAACGUCCGGAAACGGGCGCUAAUACCGCAUACUCUCAGAUGAGCCUAGGUCGGAGUAGCUAGUUGGUGGGGUAAAGGCAUACCAAGGCGACGAUCCGUAACUGGUCGGAGAGGAUGAUCAGUCACACAGGAACUGAGACACGGUCCAGACGACUACGGGAGGCAGCAGUGGGGAAGAUUGGAAAAUGGGCGAAAGACUGAUCCAGCCAUGCCGCGUGUGUGAAGAAGGUAGUCGGAUUGUAAAGCACUUUAAGUUGGGAGGCGUUACCAACAGAAUAAGCACCGGCUAACUUCGUGCCAGCAGCCGCGGUAAUUG
rnacentral:rRNA from 1 species